CGGUUAAGUUAGAAAGGGCGCACGGUGGAUGCCUUGGCACUAGGAGCCGAUGAAGGACGGGACGAACACCGAUAUGCUUCGGGGAGCUGUAAGCAAGCUUUGAUCCGGAGAUUUCCGAAUGGGGAAACCCACCACUCGUAAUGGAGUGGUAUCCAUAUCUGAAUACAUAGGAUAUGAGAAGGCAGACCCGGGGAACUGAAACAUCUAAGUACCCGGAGGAAGAGAAAGCAAAUGCGAUUCCCUGAGUAGCGGCGAGCGAAACGGGACCAGCCCAAACCAAGAGGCUUGCCUCUUGGGGUUGUAGGACACUCUGUACGGAGUUACAAAGGAACGAGGUAGAUGAAGAGGUCUGGAAAGGCCCGCCAUAGGAGGUAACAGCCCUGUAGUCAAAACUUCGUUCUCUCCUGAGUGGAUCCUGAGUACGGCGGAACACGUGAAAUUCCGUCGGAAUCCGGGAGGACCAUCUCCCAAGGCUAAAUACUCCCUAGUGACCGAUAGUGAACCAGUACCGUGAGGGAAAGGUGAAAAGCACCCCGGAAGGGGAGUGAAAGAGAUCCUGAAACCGUGUGCCUACAAGUAGUCAGAGCCCGUUAACGGGUGAUGGCGUGCCUUUUGUAGAAUGAACCGGCGAGUUACGAUCCCGUGCAAGGUUAAGCAGAAGAUGCGGAGCCGCAGCGAAAGCGAGUCUGAAUAGGGCGAAUUGAGUACGUGGUCGUAGACCCGAAACCAGGUGAUCUACCCAUGUCCAGGGUGAAGUUCAGGUAACACUGAAUGGAGGCCCGAACCCACGCACGUUGAAAAGUGCGGGGAUGAGGUGUGGGUAGGGGUGAAAUGCCAAUCGAACCUGGAGAUAGCUGGUUCUCUCCGAAAUAGCUUUAGGGCUAGCCUCAAGGUAAGAGUCUCGGAGGUAGAGCACUGAUUGGACUAGGGCCCCUACCGGGUUACCGAAUUCAGUCAAACUCCGAAUGCCGAUGACUUAUCCUUGGGAGUCAGACUGCGAGUGAUAAGAUCCGUAGUCGAAAGGGAAACAGCCCAGACCGCCAGCUAAGGUCCCAAAGUAUACGUUAAGUGGAAAAGGAUGUGGAGUUGCUUAGACAACCAGGAUGUUGGCUUAGAAGCAGCCACCAUUUAAAGAGUGCGUAAUAGCUCACUGGUCGAGUGACUCUGCGCCGAAAAUGUACCGGGGCUAAACGUAUCACCGAAGCUGCGGACUGUUCUUCGAACAGUGGUAGGAGAGCGUUCUAAGGGCUGUGAAGCAAGACCGGAAGGACUUGUGGAGCGCUUAGAAGUGAGAAUGCCGGUAUGAGUAGCGAAAGAGGGGUGAGAAUCCCCUCCACCGAAUGCCUAAGGUUUCCUGAGGAAGGCUCGUCCGCUCAGGGUUAGUCGGGACCUAAGCCGAGGCCGAAAGGCGUAGGCGAUGGAUAACAGGUUGAUAUUCCUGUACCACCUCCUCACCAUUUGAGCAAUGGGGGACGCAGGAGGAUAGGGUAAGCGCGGUAUUGGAUAUCCGCGUCCAAGCAGUUAGGCUGGGAAAUAGGCAAAUCCGUUUCCCGUGAAGGCUGAGCUGUGAUGGCGAGCGAAUUAUAGUAGCGAAGUUCCUGAUUCCACACUGCCAAGAAAAGCCUCUAGCGAGGUGAGAGGUGCCCGUACCGCAAACCGACACAGGUAGGCGAGGAGAGAAUCCUAAGGUGAUCGAGAGAACUCUCGUUAAGGAACUCGGCAAAAUGACCCCGUAACUUCGGGAGAAGGGGUGCUCUGUUAGGGUGCAAGCCCGAGAGAGCCGCAGUGAAUAGGCCCAGGCGACUGUUUAGCAAAAACACAGGUCUCUGCGAAGCCGUAAGGCGAAGUAUAGGGGCUGACGCCUGCCCGGUGCUGGAAGGUUAAGAGGAGCGCUUAGCGUAAGCGAAGGUGCGAAUUGAAGCCCCAGUAAACGGCGGCCGUAACUAUAACGGUCCUAAGGUAGCGAAAUUCCUUGUCGGGUAAGUUCCGACCCGCACGAAAGGCGCAACGAUCUGGGCACUGUCUCAACGAGAGACUCGGUGAAAUUAUAGUACCUGUGAAGAUGCAGGUUACCCGCGACAGGACGGAAAGACCCCGUGGAGCUUUACUGCAGCCUGAUAUUGAAUGUUGGUACAGCUUGUACAGGAUAGGUAGGAGCCUUGGAAACCGGAGCGCCAGCUUCGGUGGAGGCAUCGGUGGGAUACUACCCUGGCUGUAUUGACCUUCUAACCCGCCGCCCUUAUCGGGCGGGGAGACAGUGUCAGGUGGGCAGUUUGACUGGGCGGUCGCCUCCUAAAAGGUAACGGAGGCGCCCAAAGGUUCCCUCAGAAUGGUUGGAAAUCAUUCGCAGAGUGUAAAGGCACAAGGGAGCUUGACUGCGAGACCUACAAGUCGAGCAGGGACGAAAGUCGGGCUUAGUGAUCCGGUGGUUCCGCAUGGAAGGGCCAUCGCUCAACGGAUAAAAGCUACCCCGGGAUAACAGGCUUAUCUCCCCCAAGAGUCCACAUCGACGGGGAGGUUUGGCACCUCGAUGUCGGCUCAUCGCAUCCUGGGCUGUAGUCGGUCCCAAGGGUUGGGCUGUUCGCCCAUUAAAGCGGUACGCGAGCUGGGUUCAGAACGUCGUGAGACAGUUCGGUCCCUAUCCGUCGCGGGCGCAGGAAAUUUGAGAGGAGCUGUCCUUAGUACGAGAGGACCGGGAUGGACGCACCGCUGGUGUACCAGUUGUUCUGCCAAGGGCAUCGCUGGGUAGCUAUGUGCGGACGGGAUAAGUGCUGAAAGCAUCUAAGCAUGAAGCCCCCCUCAAGAUGAGAUUUCCCAUUCCGCAAGGAAGUAAGAUCCCUGAAAGAUGAUCAGGUUGAUAGGUCUGAGGUGGAAGUGUGGCGACACAUGGAGCUGACAGAUACUAAUCGAUCGAGGACUUAACCAAUUU
rnacentral:rRNA from 1 species